GAAAUGCGAUAAGUAAUGUGAAUUGCAGAAUUCAGUGAAUCAUCGAAUCUUUGAACGCAGCUUGCGCUCCUUGGUAUUCCUUGGAGCAUGCCUGUUUGAGUAUCAUGAAAUCUUCAAAGUAAAUCUUUUGUUAACUCAAUUGGUUUCUACUUUGGUAUUGGAGGUCUUUGCAGCUUCACACCUGCUCCUCUUUGUUCAUUAGCUGGAUCUCAGUGUUAUGCUUGGUUCCACUCGGCGUGAUAAGUUAUCUAUCGCUGAGGACACUGUAAAAGGUGGUCAAGGUAAAUGCAGAUGAACCGCUUCUAAUAGUCCAUUGACUUGGACAAUACUUUUAUGAUCUGAUCUCAAAUCAGGUAGGACUACCCGCUGAACUUAAGC
rnacentral:misc_RNA from 1 species